GGCCCUUAGUAGCGGCGAGUGAGCGGCAAAGCUCAAUUUGAAUCUGGCUCUUUCAGAGUCCGAGUUGUAAUUUGAAGAAGGUAUCUUUGGGUCUGGCUCUUGUCUAUGUUUCUUGGAACAGAACGUCACAGAGGGUGAGAAUCCCGUGCGAUGAGAUGAUCCAGGCCUAUGUAAAGUUCCUUCGAAGAGUCGAGUUGUUUGGGAAUGCAGCUCUAAGUGGGUGGUAAAUUCCAUCUAAAGCUAAAUAUUGGCGAGAGACCGAUAGCGAACAAGUACAGUGAUGGAAAGAUGAAAAGAACUUUGAAAAGAGAGUGAAAAAGUACGUGAAAUUGUUGAAAGGGAAGGGCUUGAGAUCAGACUUGGUAUUUUGUAUGUUACUUCUUCGGGGGUGGCCUCUACAGUUUAUCGGGCCAGCAUCAGUUUGGGCGGUAGGAGAAUUGCGUUGGAAUGUGGCA
rnacentral:rRNA from 1 species